UACGUAGGUGGCGAGCGUUGUCCGGAAUUACUGGGUGUAAAGCGCGUGUAGGCGGCAGGCCAAGUCGGUGGUGAAAGCGCCCGGCUCAACUGGGCGAGGUCCAUGGAAACUGGUCAGCUGGAGGACGGUAGAGGCGAGUGGAAUUCCCGGUGUAGCGGUGAAAUGCGCAGAUAUCGGGAGGAACACCUAUGGCGAAGGCAGCUCGCUGGGACGUUACUGACGCUGAGACGCGAAAGCGUGGGGAGCAAACAGG
rnacentral:rRNA from 1 species